UCAAAUUAAUAUUUUUAAAGAAGAGAAGAUUGAUCCUUGGCUAUGGGCUUCCGUCAUACAAUUGUCUGGCCCCAUUUCUUUGGUUUUCAGCAGAAUGGAUCUACUUGUCUCAUGGUUUAGAAGUGAAAGAUAUUGGGCAAGGGAUGUAGCUCAGUGGCAGAGCCCGUUCAAAGAAUGUGAAAGUUUAUGGGUUUGAUGCUCAACAAAGAUUUUAAAAAAUAAGAAAGAGGUUAAAGGGAUUGAGGAAGGAGUCAGGGUUCCACUGUCCCCUCCAGUGACCUAAGUACCUCCCCUAGGACCAACCUCUUACAGAUGCUGCUCUGGGGACCAAACUUUUAACACAUGGGGGCAUUAAAGAUCCAAACUACAGUAUGGGUUUUGAGAUGGAAAGAUUAUCCUGGUGUAAAAACAGGAGGCUUGAUGAAGGGACAGGAUGUGAGUUGUGGUAGAGAAUUGCCUAGUAUGCACAUAGCUCUGGGUUCCAACCUCAAUACCACCAAAACUAACCAAGAAACCAACCAACCAACUAACAAACAACUUCUACCACAGGAGGCAGGGGAACAUGAGGAGAUGUGACCAUUGGAAGCAGAAAUCAGGACUGAGGAAUGAUGGAAGUAUCUGAAAGCUGGAAGUUAGGGAACAGAUUAUAUUCUAGACCUUCAAUGAAAAAUACUGCUCUACUGACAAUUUUAGACUUCUGACCACCAGAAUAAUUCGCAUUUAACCAUUGAUUUGUAUUAAUUUGCUACGGUAGCAAGAAGCAGUAUACACAAUUAUGGUAAAAUGUGCUUGAUUAUUGACCUAAUGAAUCACAAUUUUCCAACCCAUUUUUGUUUCCCCAGAGCAAACUUUCUGAAAUAGCAACUGAAUCAAGGCAGCUGGGUCUUCACGGACCCAGCUUAUGAGUGCUUGUAAGUUCAGUUUAUGAAUGCAGAGUAGGACCAGUUUCCAUGACUUGGCCAUCAAGGUGGUCCUGGAUUGUGUCUCCCAACACCACCAUUGCUUUCCUGUCCAUGGAGAAGUCUUAUCACUGAACAGCAUCACAGAGCGCUGUGCUCUGCUCUGCAACAGAAUGAAAAUUCAUUGUUUUCUCAAUUAUCAUUACUUGGGAAACAAACUUCAAGAUGAACAUGAGCAAAGAGCACAGAAACCAAACAUUCCAAGCUAAAGAGUGGAGGAUAGAGCCGGGCAUUGGUGGCGUGUGCCUUUAAUCCCAGCACUUGGGAGGCAGAGGCAGAGGCAGGCGGAUCUCUGUGAGUUCAAGGCCAGCCUGGUCUACAAAGCGAGUUCCAGGAAAGGUGCAAAGCUACACAGAAAAACCCUGUCUCGAAAAAACAAAACAAAACAAAAAAAAAAGAGUGGAGGAUGGAAGAAUUUGAAAUCUUCAGUUUUGGGAAAUCUAGAAUCUGUUGCCAUAAAUAUAGCUCAGCAAGUGAUAACUUAUAAUUGCCAAAGUUGAUGGGUAAUUACAUAAUCGAGGCAGAGGGCAGAGCUUGCAUUUGCCUCCUUGAUUAAUUAUCACACCAACCAACUUCUUGUUUGAAUACCAGCAGUUUCUACUGUGUUUCUUAAAGUCAGCUGGAGUUCCAACAGAUGUGAGCCCAGCAGCAGCUGCAAUGGAUGGUGGUGGAGAGGGUCUUGUAAACACACACAAACAGUGACUAACCUCUCAACUGUAGAAAGCUCAAAGCUUCCUCACAUUCAGAUUUUACUGGAGGUAAAAAGAAAUUAUGGAACGACUCUUCACCGAACGCCUUUAACCCUAAGGGCAGAUAGGCUAGGUUAGGCUACACAAGCUAUGGAUUCUGAUGAUCCAGUUCACAGUGUUCAAUUAAACUUAAUCAGACACAUAUGGGCUGCUGUAGACUAUUGUUAAUAAGCUGCAUGGUGAUUAUGGAAAUGGCUAUUAGUUCAGUUGAAUGACUAUAAUUGGUAUUAUUUGCACAAUGAGCCAUUUUAAAACAGUUGCUUUCUGCUUUUCAUUUUUGGAGUCCUCCUGAGUCUGUAAUCAGAAUGAAAAUCACUGUUUUCUCUGCUUUUUUUUUUUUUUUUUUAAAAAUCUGAGUUAUCAGACUGUGGUGGUAUUGUGUUCCCCGAAAUAUUGUGCACCCUAAUAAACUUAUCUGGGGUCAGAAACAGAACAGCCACAAUAUUAAACAUAGAGGAUAGGCAGUGGUAGCACACGCCUUUAAUCCCAGCACUUGGGAGGCAGAGCUAGGCAGAAAUCCAUGUGUUCAAGGAUACAGCCAAGCAUGGUGACUCACGCCUUUAAUCCCAGGGAGUGAGGCAGAAAGCAGAAAGAUAUAUAAGGCGUGAGGACCAGAAACUAGAAGCAUUUGGCUGGUUAAGCAUUCAGGCUUUCAAGUAGCAGUUCAGCGGAGACCCAUUCUGGAUGAGGACUCAGAGGCCUUCAGUCUGAAGAAACAAGACCAGCUGAGGAUCCAGCGAGGUGAGGUAGCUGUGACUUGUUCUGGUUCUCUGAUCUUCCAGUUCACCCCAAUACCUGGCUCAGGUUUGAUUUUAUUAAUAAGAACUUUUAAGAUUCCUGCUAUAUCAGACAGCCCCCCUUUGGAAGAGUGAUGGUGUAGAGGUCCCCAACAUGUACUCUGUGCCCUCACUCAAGGGCCAAGAUUACCCCCAGGAUUGGCCUUUGUAAUUCUGUUCUCUUCCUGGGGUACAGCCUGUGCACUGCACUGGGCAGUGAACUUUUUUUGCCUACAGGCUUCGAAGAGUCCAUUAUGAGUACAGGUGGAUAGCAGUGUCCGGGGAAGCUAAGCCUUAAGAACAGUAUGUUUUUUUGUGUGUCUGCUUUCUUCCAACUAUCAUAAAUAAUGUUUUUGAUAUUAGUUUAUUUUUUUACAUUUGCUUAUUUUCCCCCUUCUCUCUCUCUCUCUGUGUAUGCACACACGUGCCAGUGGGAGAGAGUGGAGGUCAGAGAAAAAUGGUAGCAGCCGAUUCUCUCCUUUCAUCAUGUGGGUUUGAACUCAGGUCAUCGGGCGUGGCAGCAAGCUUCUUUACUCACUGAGUCAAUUCACUGGACUGAGGUCGAUUCAUAUUCUGUCAUGGACCAUUUUUUUAACGUUGAGAGGUAUCCCAUUAUAAGAAUAUACCAUUAUAUAUAUAUAUAUUAUAUAUAUAUAUAUAUAUAUAUAUAUAAUAGGUUUUUAUGUUCUUUUGUAAAUGAACAAUUUAGUUAUUUACAGUUUGACCCAUUAUGUACAAAACAUGAAUGAAUAUUUCUGGAGGAAUCUUAUAGUGAACACACUUAUUUGCUUCUUUUGAGUAGGAAUAGAAUUCCUGAGUCCUAGGACAACUCUUGUCUAACUUUAUUACAAACAUCCAGAUGGAUUUAUAUCAUCUUAGAAUCGCCCAUCUCCUUGCAAAGAUUUCAUCUCACAUGCUUCAUAAAGGCAUGCAUGUUGGAAGUUUAACCUCUGAGUGGUGCUACUGGAGGUGAAGGCCUCUCUAAGAGGUGGGUGUGGUGGUAUUGUGUUCCCCAAAAUAUUGUGUACCUUAAUAAACUUAUCUGGGGUCAGAGAACAGAAAAGCCACAAGAUACUUAGGCUAGAAAAUGUUAGCACAUGCCUUUAAUCCUAGCAUUCCAGAGACAGAAAUCCCUCUGGAUCUCUGUGAGUUCAAGGCUGCAUUGGAAACAGCCAGGCAUGGUGACUCAUGCCUUUAAUCCCAGAAAGCAGCCUUUAAUCCCAGGGAGUGGUGGUAGAAAGCAGAAAGGUUUAUAAGGCGUGAGGACCAGAAACUGGAGGCAUUUGGCUGGUUAAGCAUUUGGCUGGAUAAGCAUUCAGGCUUCUAGCAGCAGUUCAGCUGAGAGCUAUUGGGAUGAAGACACAGAAGCUUCCAGUCUGAGGAAACAGGACCAGCUGAGGAACUGGCAAGGUUUGAUUUUAUUAAUAAGAACUUUUAAGAUUCCUGCUACAGGUGGGGUUUUGUGGAGGUCUUCAGGUCAUAGGAAUGUAUUCUUUGGUAUAUUUUGGGGACUUGGUCUCCUCUCUUUUUUGCUCCAUGUCCAUAAUAAGAGUUAUGCCAUGAGCUACCAUGGUGAUGUGCUGCCUUGCUAUGGGCCCAACGACACAGAGCCAACACAACAUGGACUGGAUGCUCUAAAACUGAGUCAAAAUAAACCCUCUCUCAUUAUAAGUUGAUUCUCUCGGGUGUUUGUUGUAGUAAUGAAAACAGAUACCUGACUCUCCAAAAUCUGUUGGAUGUGCAGCAAAACUAAAGACCAACUUAGAUAGAAUAAAAUCUCAAUACUCCUGGGGUUUACAUUCCACAAAACAACAUGUGUGUCUCCAUUUGUUAUGUCUUGUUUACGUCAGCACUGUUUUUCUUUGAGAGUUUUUGCAUAGUUUUAAAAUUAAAUUUAUUCAAAAGCAUUUUAUGUUAUUUGAUACUGUUAUACAUGGUAGCUUUCUAAAAUUUAAUUUCCAAUUGUUUGUUUCUGGUAUAGAGGAAUACAAUUGAUUUUUGUGAGCUGACCUUGUAUCCAACAAUCACAUUAAACUGAAUCAGUUCUAGAAGUUUGUCGAAUCCUUUGGGUAUCUAAGCACAAAAGUACUGUAUCCGUGAAUAGCAGUUUUAACUUUUCUUUCCAAUUGUUAUAAUUAUCUAUCUAUAUAUCUAUCUAAUUGAUCAACUAUCUUGAUGUGGUCCAAUAUUGGACAGACAUGGUAAAAGUGGACACUAUUUAAUUGUCUUUUUAUUCCCAUCUUAGAAAGACACACACAACACACACACACACACACACACACACACACACACACACAUAUAUAAUAGUCUGACAUUAAGAAUGAUAGCAACUGAAGUUUUUUUUUGAUAGACAUAUUUUAUCCAACUGAGAAAAUACCUUCUUCUUACAGGCUUGUUCAUGGCUUUAUGUGUGGUCUAGCAUUGCCUUUUCUCAAAUGCCUUUUCUUUAUGUUCUAAGUUCAUUAUAUGUUCUGAUCUUUUAUUUUGUUAAUGUGGUAAAUUGCAAUGUCUUAGUUUGUCUGCGUAGUUAUAGCAGAUUGUCAUCGGUAAGUAGUUACAAAGAAUAAUUUAUUCUCACUGUUCUGAAAGGUGGAGUGUUCAAGAUCAAGAUGCCAGUCUUGUUGGUGAAUACUUAUGUGGUGGAAGGUGGAAGGACAAGGGAGAGAGAGUCCAUUCCUACAAGUCCACUUCACAGUAGCAUUCUUCACUUAUGAAGGUGGAGCCUUCAUGACCUGGGUGACUCUCCUGGCAUACCACAAUCGGUUGCACUGGGGAUUAAUUUAUAACAUAUAAAUUGUGGAGGAGAUCCAUUCAAAUGGUAUUGCACAUAAUUUGCCUUUUGAAUGUUAAACUGAUUUGCAUUCCUAGAAUAAAUCUCUUUGUAUUGAGAGAUUAUCCUUUUGAAAUAUUGCUGAAUUGAUUUUUAAAUAUUUUAUUAAAGAUUUUUUUCUCUUUCUGUUUAUGAGGAAUAUUAAUCUGUAGCUUCUUAUGAUGUCUUUUUCUCAAUGUUUGUACUGGUUUUUGUAAAUGAGUCUGGGAAAUGUUUUCUCUUCAUACACUGAAUGGGUUUGAAUAUUGUUACAAUUAUUUCUUCCUUGAAAUUUUACUAGAAUUCAUCAGUGAAUCCUGGUAGGGUUUUCUUUAAAUCAACAUUCAAUUUCUUUAACAGAGUUAUAUUCUCAAGGGCUUCUGUUUCUUCUUGUGAAACUUUCUCCAGAGUUCUGUUUUUAAAGGGUUUUGUCCAAUUCCAGGGAAUUUCUCAAGUGUUCUGACAGCAGGAUUUUCACAUUGUUCGCUUAACUUUGCGUUAGCAUCACAGGACCCACAUGUCAGUCAUGAUCAUUUUUCUUUUUCUUUCUGAGCUUUAUUGGCUUUACUAAUCUUAAACAAAAACAACCUUGGCUUUGUUAAUUUCUCUACCUUCUGCCUUUGCCUUUAUUCCACGAGACUCUUCUUAUCCACACCUGCUGUUUCCCUUAGUGUCCAUGGGUCACUUUGCUGUUAGGAUUCUAGCUUCUUUGGGAGAAAUCUUAGCUAAUUGACUUUGGCUAUUUUAUUUGAAGCAGUUAUGUGUCACUCAGCUAUGGAGACACAUUGUUGAGAGAUGCAUUGUGAUGUUUGCUGUUGUGUGAGCACCAUAGUGAGCCCAUACACAGACCAGAAUGGUAUAAUAUCAUAAGUGGUGUAAUCUUGUGGGGACACUAUUAUAAAUGUGCUUUGUGCUGUUGACUGAAACAUCAUUAUGUAAUACUGAAUAUAUACUAUAUAAUUUUCUUUUCUCCCUUCCUCCCUCCCUCCCUCCUUCCCUUCCUUCCUUCCUUCCUUUCUUUCUCUCUUUGCUUACUUUCUUCUUCAGGUUCUCUCACUGAACAUGGAGCUCACCAAUUGGCUAGACUGAUGGGCCAGGUUCUAAGGAUUGCCUCUUCCUGCCUCCCCAGUACUGGGAUUACAGGCAUGUAGGUGUUAUGGCUCUGGACUCAGGCCUGAGUGUUGACGUGGCCAGCUCUUUACUAAUUGACUGAGCCAUCUUCUCUGCUGUGUAGAACUUUCCUCACAUGCUGCUUUCCUUGUAUUCCACAGACUUUGAAGUAUUACAUUUUACUAUCACUGGAUUUAAAACGGUCUCUGUUUUGCAUUAUGAUUUCUUCUUGGAUCCAUGGCUUACCAACAAGUGUUCUAAGUGGUUUUCAGUUAUUCGUGGGAUUUUCUAGUUACCUCAUUGAUUUGGGGUCUUAUUUUCCUGUAACCCACUCCAUGGGCACAAUUCAGACUCUUUCAAGUAAAGAACCAUUUCUCUUGCAAUAUGCUUCAUAGCCAUUUAGUAUGCACAAAAGGAUGCCACUGUUUUCACUGCCUUUAAAAGAAGUCACUGAUGAGUGUUUUAUCUGUUAGAUUCAAUAAUAUUAUUCACAUAAACCAUAUCAGAUUUAUAGGGCAUUGUACUGGCUAGUUUUGUGUGUCAACUUGAUACAAGCUAGAUUCAUCAGGAAGGAAGGCACCUCAGUUGAGGUAAUGCCUCCAUGAGAUCCAACUGUAAGGCAUUUUCUCAAUUAGUGAUCAAUGGGGGAGGGCCCAGCUCAUUGUGGGUGGUGCCAUCCUGGGCUGGUGGUCCUGUGCUCUGUAAGAAAACAGAGUAACAGGAAUUCUAAUUGGUCUUAAUAAAAACCUGGAGUCAGAUAUCGGGGUAAAUGCUGAAAGAUCAGAGAAGUAAAGGAGCCAGCCACUAGAGAGACUUCUUACCUCUACCGAACCCUCAGACCAAAAGGGGCGAGCUCCUGUCUCCUCCCACCUUAUAUUCCUCUCUCUGCCCAGACAUAUCACUUCCUGUCUCCACUUCCCUAGUGCUGGGAUUAAAGGUGUGUGCCUCCCAAGUACUGGGAUUAAAGGCAUGAGAUCCCAAGUGUUGGGAUCAAAGAUAUGUGUUACCACUGCCUGGCCUCUAUGGUUAAUUAGUGGCUAGUUCCACACUCUUAUCUCUAGGCUAGUUUUAUUUGUUAGAGCACAAACAAAAUACCACCACAAAGCAGGCUGAGCAAGCCAUGGGAAGUUAGCCAGUAAUCAGGCCCCUUCCAUGACCUCUUCAUCAGCUCCUUCUUCCAGAAUUCUGCCUUGUUUGAGUUCCUGUCCUGAUGUCCCUCAGUGGUGAACAGCAAUGUAGAAGUGUAAGCUGAAUAUCCCCUUUCCUCCCCAACUUGCUUUAUGAUCAUGGUGUUUCAUUGCAACAAUAGAAACUCUAAGACAGGUGUGUUUUAUAGGGUGUGUUUAGGAUCUGGACUGUGUCCCCAAAAGCAUGUCCUGGAGCCUUGAUUGUCAGCUCGUGAUCCUCUUGUUAGGUGGUGAGACAUUAGGAGGUACAGAGCCUCUCUGGAGAAACUGAAUCACUAAGGGUGUUCUUAAGGGGAUAAUCAGAUCCCUAGAUGCUUCCUCACUUUCCUCUUUCUUUCUCUCUUUUUGCUUCCUUACCAUGAUGAGGAGACAGUUUUUCUCUGCUCUGUGUUCCCUACUGUGAUGGUCUCCUUCCCCUCAGAGCAGCAGAAUGAGCUGGGCAUCAGCUGAAACCUCUGAAUCUGUGAGACAAAGUAAGAGACAUUAGUUCUCUUAGGCAUUGUUCAUAGCGACAGAAAGCUGACACACAAGAUAUGCAUCUAAGGACGGGGAGGUGGCAGAGUGGAUAAAGUGCUUGUUGUGAAGACCUGCGGGCCUGAUAAAAACCCAGGGAUGCUGGUGUACACCUGUCACCUUACACUGAAGCAGAGACAAGGGAUCCUGUGGCUCAUUGGCCAGCAAGUCUAGCCUCAAAUUCUGUGAAAGACAGUGUUUUGAAAACUAGAUGGAGAACAGUUGAGGAAGACAAUAUUGACCUCUGACUCCCACAUUUCCGUGUAUGUGUGUGUGAGAGAGAGAAAGAUAGAUAGAUAGAGAGAGAGAGAGAGAGAGAGAGAGAGAGAGAGAGAGAGAGAGGAGAGAGAUCUUCAUAUCAAUGUAACAUUAGGAAAUAUAGAAAAUAAAUUUAAAUGGGAAAGCUAAGAUUGCUAAUAAUUCCUUCAUUCACAGCUUUUUCUUGAAGACUAAUUUAUUGAUGGUUUGAUACCAUGGUAUCUCAUGUGUGGUGUGCUAUUUUGCUUGAUUUUUAAGAUUUAUUUUAUUUUUAUUUUCUGUGUAAGGGUGUUUCUGCUGUGUGAAUUUAAGGGUACUGUGUAUGUAGUACCCAAGGAGGCCAGAAGAAGGCAUCAUCAGAUUCCCUGAGACUGGAGCUACUGGACAGUUAUUAGCUGGCAUGUGAUUGCUGGGAACUGAACCUGGGUCCUCUAGAAAAACAAGUGCUCUUAAUCACCGAGCCAUCUCUCCAGCUCCCAUUAGUGGUUUUAAAGCAUAGGCCUGUAUCAAGGUCUGUGUAGAGGGUCUGUACUGGUGUCUCUCAAACAGUGGUCUAUAUCAGAAACUCCUUGAACUUUUUGAAAUACGGAUUCUAUAUCCUGCUGCUUAAAUUGUUUGCCCUUUACUUUAAAUAAAAUUCAUGUUCCCCUAUUCUUUUAUAUUGAUCUGUACUGUUUUAUUUACAUGAGUUUCUUGAGAUAGAAUAUCUGUGGGUUUUUUGCUAUUAUUUCCUGGAAGCUUCCUAUGUGCAGUCUCUGGUGGCACUGGAUGCCACACCCUCGACGGUGUCGCCUGUGUGACAAAUGCCGAUCUGGUGGUCUCACGAGAAAGGGGGGCACGUGUCUCUCGAGGGCUAGGCCCCCCGGCAGUCCCCUGGCAAUCAGCCCGAGCAAUGGUUCCUGGAUACAUUGUUCCCUAAAGACCAGCCUUCCAUGGAUGGUUGGCAGGACUCCUGCUUCUUUCUUCUUUCCUGACAAUAACAACCUCCCUGUGCCUGUCGCUUGACGUACCUGAUAACUCCACAACUGUUACACCAGCACCGCCCCCAGUGAUUCAAGCCCUUGGGCAGAUAGCACAAAAAACCCCUACUUCAGUGGGGGCACUCAUGGAUGGAUUAGAACAGAAAGAGCUAAUGAUUCAGGUUCUCACAGAUUCUAAGGAAGAAAAUGUAAAAGUAAAAAGAUUGUUAGGUAACCCUCACUCAGCUCAUGCAAACUCACAAGAAAGAGAACUUAGGAAACUGGCAACUCCCACAAGAAUGGUUGGAAGGUACAUUCAAUACCGUAUUAAUGGGAAAUGGUGGACACCCCCUCGUUGGAAUCCCAGAAGUAGAAAUUACUUAGGUCCACCCCCUUUUACAGAGGCUUAUGACUAUGAAGGGAAUCGGUUGGGUAAAUCAUGGGGGGAAAAGAAUGUUGUGGAAUCAGUUGCCUUUUAUGGAAAGACUGGUUAGAAGCAGAAAGGUAUGGUGUACAUAUGAUAGGCAGACAAGGUCAGCUAUAUUGAGGGGUAUAGCACCUGUGCUAAAGAGGUGGGCUAAGGCUCUUGGCGAGGACUUUGUAACUGUCUUUAAUAAAUUACUAGAAAUGGAUUACCAGUUAUUGAGUGCAUAAUCUGGCUCUUAGGGUUCAGGCCACAGCAUGUCUCUGUCUGAAAGGAUUAAUCAUUUUGAAAACCACAUUGUGUGACCACAAAAGAUUGCGUCUAUUGCUUUUCUUUUGCCCCUGGGCUUAGGUCCUUGUUAAGAUUGUAUAAAAUCUCAGCCUGAUGUUCAGUAAAAUUGCAGCAGUUUCACAGCA